UACGAAGGGGGCUAGCGUUGCUCGGAAUCACUGGGCGUAAAGCGCACGUAGGCGGCUUUCUAAGUCAGGGGUGAAAUCCUGGAGCUCAACUCCAGAACUGCCUUUGAUACUGGCGAUCUUGAGUCCGGGAGAGGUGAGUGGAACUCCGAGUGUAGAGGUGAAAUUCGUAGAUAUUCGCAAGAACACCAGUGGCGAAGGCGGCUCACUGGCCCGAUACUGACGCUGAGGCACGAAAGCGUGGGGAGCAAACAGG
rnacentral:rRNA from 1 species